AAGAAGAAGGGGCCACCGAGACCCCAAGAGAGUCAGGGAGACAGACGCACGAAACGACCGACACAACCAGGGACAGAUAUCCUUCGAGUUGGAUUUCGACUGGGUUCUGCCAAUGGGAUGUAUCCAUGCGAGAUUCUGGAACUAACAUCAGAGAGAGUCCAAGCUUCUAACUUUUAUCAGCGGCAGUGACAAUAGUCAAGCAGCAUUGAUGACAAAUGGCAAGAGUUUAGAAAGUACCAGUGACGUGCCUGAUAGAAUCUCACCACAAGAUGGAAGCCAACUCGUCAGAAGCCUGGAAAGCCCACCCAGCGUGGGACCUCUGUGGGUCCAGGAUCUUGGAAUGGCAUCCCAUGGUUCAAUCUUCCGGAUUCAACCACAUAAAUUUACCCCACCCAUGUCGUGGACCCAAGCUUCCUACCAUGUAUCCUUAGCUUAAAUGCAAGAUAGUACUAUUUUGUUCAUCUUGAUUGGAGUGAGAAAUGAAUAGGUCCAUGCACAUAUAUUUCUUUUACCACAACAAGAUGAUGAAGAAAUAAAUCCAUAAUAUCGAUACUUUUGUAUAAGUUGUGUUUACAGUUGCAGUAAGAAAUUUUAUAAUCGUUGAUUUGCUUUAUAUAAUUUCUGCUUGCUUUUUAUGAUAUUUAAAACAAAAUCUAAGCAACAAAUUUUAUGUCUGAUUAGAUUUACAGAAGCUGCUUAAGUGCUUAGGGAUAAUUUGUUCAUCAUAUUUGUAAGUCUCCCUUGUUAGGUGUUUGAAGUGUUUGAAUUGGCUAAAUUAAAUUUGUAAUUGUAGUUUGAAAUAUCUAAA
rnacentral:lncRNA from 1 species